CUUCGAUUUUACAAUGGACAGAUAAAUUAAUACGCGCCCAGUUUUAGCAGUUCCGACUGAAUUUAACGUCUGUUAUUUCUUUUGCAGAAUGCCUUGUUUCACAAAAAAGAACACUGUUCAGAUAUUUUCUCUGGACUGUCAAUUUCUGCAUUUCAUAAUCAUGUGAUACCUGUGUUGGAGCCCUCCCAAAAACCUCCCCUGUAAAAUUUCAAAGUUAAGGAGAUCAUUCAAAUGACAGAGGUUUUGGUCCAUCUUGGUUUGUCUCAACAGUUAAUCUUUUGGAAAGCAGUGUUGGAGAAAAUAUCAGCAACAUGUGAAGA